UACAGAGGUGUCAAACGUUGUCCGGAAUUACUGGGCGUAAAGGGCGCGUAGGCGGUCCUAUAAGUCAGGUGUGAAAGCUCUGGGCUCAACCCAGGAAUUGCAUCUGAUACUGUAGGACUUGAGUUCGGUAGAGGAGGGCGGAAUUCCAGGUGUAGCGGUGAAAUGCGUAGAGAUCAGGCGGAACACCUGGGGCGAAGGCGGCCAGCUGGGGCCGUCCCUGACGCUGAGGCGCGAAGGCGUGGGGAGCGAACGGG
rnacentral:rRNA from 1 species